rnacentral:piRNA from 1 species
UCAGUCCUUUUUUUUUGAUAA